CCUGCCCUCCCCUGCCCUCCCCGCCUUCGCGGGUCCCAGCCCCUGGAGCCGGGAAGAGGAGAGGACCCAGGGGCGGAAGCCGGAGGCCAGCGGGUGGGGGCGACUCCCUGUUGCCUCUGCCUCCCGGGCGGACUCUGAGCUCCCUACCCUGGGGGCCGGAGUGGCUGGGACUGUGCCCCCCGCAUGGGGGACCGGGGCUCGGGGACUGACUGCCCUGAGGAAGCCUUCCUCGGCCGGCGUGGCAGAACUCUCUCACACUCAGCCCCGAAACUUCAGUCUCUCCCUGAAGGCCGGACGGAGGGCUCAAGAUCGCAGGGGUCAUCACUUAUGAAACCAGAGAGGCGUGACAACACCUUUAGCCGCCAGCCUGUCAGGAGCAAGGCCCCUGACCCUGGCAGGAAUGCAAUUGAGUGUGAAUGUUCCCCUGACUGGCUGUGGAAGAGAAGUGGUAUCGGACACUUAUUGGAUUAGACACUGAUGGCUAGAAAUGAAUACCAGUAAAUGGUAAUAGUGACCGAACUAAUUGGAUUUGAACUACUUUUCCUCAGUAAAAUGCUCCAGUUUGGAGUCAGUUAACGCAUUUAUUUUCCACUUUCUAUGCAAAUCAACUAUCUGCCUUAUCUGUCCUGUUCUGUGCCCCAAAGGCCCAUGGCCAUCAUCAUUGGAUCUUUAACAAAAGAGGUGCCAGCUGCAGGCUGGAAGAGAGGCUGGGGUAUUCUCUCCUCCCCAUUUGGCCAUGCCCUGACUGAGCCUGGCAGUGUCUGUGUCCCUCUAUGAUGACAAUUCCUGUAGGGCUUCCUUAUUCAUUGUGUCAACUCAUGUCAGCCUCCAGGAAGUAUAGUUCUCUCCCCCAUGCCUCUUAAGGCCUGGGAGUGGUGGUGUCUGCCUCCCACUAUUGCUGGUCCUUGGGUAACAGCAUCUUUUGAUAGGUGGUCAAACCAUGACUACACUGUAGCAAAUGGUCCUUUCAUCAUACUCUCUCCCAAAUCUCCUCCCAAGAAUGUCUUCUGCUUCCUACAAGGACCCUGAGUGCUACAGCCAGAUUUUUACCAGCCUCUACCUUGCAAACGGUGACAUUUGGAUGGGGAUGGGAGGACAAAAGCAGAUCACACAAGGCCAUUGGAUAAAGGCUGCAUGACUUUCAGGAUUGUCUGUUUCGUUCAAUGGUAAAUGUUAAUUUCAUAUUGUAUUAUAGUAGACACCGUGGUUACCAGUGUAGCAACCAUGCCCUUUUUUUCCUUGCUGGUAAGAAACCUACCUUGGUCUAGGUAUCCACCCUCUACAUGGCUGGGAUAAACUGGUUCAUGUAAGCUAAUCUUGGUAACUCUUAUUUUUCUUCCUGUAAUUGGUUUAAAACAAGUGUAAGUCAAUGAAUCCUGCUACUGGAAAAAGUUUCCUCAUUCUUAAAAAGGCACAUAAAGAGGAAAUGUUCCUUGUUUCCUACUGGAUAUUGUACAUGUGGAAUGAUGUCUGGGACUUUACAGCCUUCUUGCAUCCAUGACUGGAGGUAACCUGAAGAGCAUCCUUACUCUGGGUACAGAAACAUGGAAUGAUGGGGAGAGCAUGGGUCCUUAAUGACACCAUUGGGCCAUUAAUCAAUCCUGUUGCUGCCCUAACAUUGAAUUUCAGAUCAUGAGAGAUAAUAAAUAUCCUUAUUGAGUUGGAUUUUUGUUACUAAUGGCUGACAGCACCUUAACUUUAAACCUGUGGAAACAAACCAGUUAAGACUCUUUAUUAAAGUAACAGACAAUUCUAACUCA